UGUUGUUGUUGUUGUUGUUGUUCUUCUUCUUCUUCUGCUCGUUGCUGCUGUGGUUUUCUACAAGCGCAAAGCAAUAAUGAAAUGCAUCAGGAGGCAGCGCGAGAGGCAGGAGCGCCGUGAUCCGACAGAUGAUGCUCAAGACACAUCCCGUGAACAGACUGAAACUCUAAUGCAGAUGACUCCUAAAGGGACAUCUCAUAAAUAAGACUGAGGCUGCUGAUGAGACACAACUGUAACAUAAUUUAUUUUAUUGAAAGGGAAAUUUAAGAGAAGAUGGGAAAUUAGAGAAAAGCAUCAGCAGAAAUUCUCAUUGUUCACAGAAACAAUAUCAAGGUUUCAGUGUAAUAUCAUUAAUAGUGAUUUCACUUUAGCAUCUUGACAACACUAUUUACACACUACUUAAACAACACUACAACAUUACUUCAAACUGAUGUUUUCAGAGGGAUCACUGAGAAAUGAAACAUUUCUCUGAAACUUUGUGUUUUUGUGAUUUAGCUAGCAAAGCUUUGUGGUUCAAGAAAGGCAGAAGGUUCAGAUUCUGCAAGGGUUGAUCCAUGAAAUCUCACAAUUAUAUGCAUGAUCAAGACUCUGAAACUCAGGAACUGAAACA